AGUGUAUAUGCCUAGGAGUGGGAUUGCUGGGUCGUAUGGUAGUUCUAUUUUUAGUUUUUUAAGGAACCUCCAUACUGUUCUCCUUAGUGGCUGUAUCAGUUUACAUUUGCACCAACAGUGCAAGAGGGUUCCCUUUACUCCACAGCCUCUCCAGCAUUUAUUGUUUGUAGACUUUUUGAUGAUGGCCAUUCUGAGCAGUGUGAGGUGAUACCUCAUUGUAGUUUUGAUUUGCAUUUCUCUAAUAAUUAGUGAAGUUGAGCAUCCUUUCAUGUGUUUGUUUGCAAUCUGUAUAUCUUCUUUGGAGAAAUGUCUAUUUAGGUCUUCUGCCCAUUUUUGGAUUGGGUUGUUUGUUUUUUUGCUAUUGAGCUGCAUGAGCUGCUUGUAAAUUUUGGAGAUUAAUUCUUUGUCAGUUGCUUCAUUUGCAAAUAUUUUCUCCCAUUCUGAGGGUUGUCUUUUGGUCUUGUUUAUGGUUUCCUUUGCUGUGCAAAAGCUUUUAAGUUUCAUUAGGUCCCAUUUGUUUAUUUUUGUUUUUAUUUCCAUUUCUCUAGGAGGUGGGUCAAAAAGGAUCUUGCUGUGAUUUAUGUCAUAGAGUGUUCUGCCUAUGUUUUCCUCUAAGAGUUUGAUAGUGUCUGGCCUUACAUUUAGGCCUUUAAUCCAUUUUGAGCUUAUUUUUGUGUAUGGUGUUAGGGAGUGUUGUAAUUUCAUACUUUUACAUGUACUUGUCCAGUUUUCCCAGCACCACUUAAGGAAGAGGCUGUCUUUUCUCCACUGUAUAUUCUUGCCUCCUUUAUCAAAGAUAAGGUGACCAUAUGUGCAUGGGUUUAUCUCUGGGGUUUCUAUCCUGUUCCAUUGAGCUAUAUUUCUGUUUUUGUGCCAGUACCAUACUGUAUUGAUUACUGUAGCUUUGUAGUAUAGUCUGAAGUCAGGGAGCCUGAAUGGCCAUCAUCAAAAAAUCUAGAAACAAUAAAUGUUGGAGAGGGUGUGGAGAAAAGGGAACACUCUUGCACUGUUGGUGGGAAUGUAAAUUGAUACAGCCACUAUGGAGAACAGUAUGGAGGUUCCUUAAAAAAACUACAAAUAGAACUACCAUAUGACCCAGCAAUCCCACUAAUGGGCAUAUAUCCUGAGAAAACCAUAAUUCAAAAAGAGUCAUGUACCAAAAUGUUCAUUGCAGCUCUAUUUACAAUAGCCAGGACAUGGAAGCAACCUAAGUGUCCAUCAACAGAUGAAUGGAUAAAGAAGAUGUGGCACAUAUAUACAAUGGAAUAUUACUCAGCCAUAAAAAGAAAGAAAAUUGAGUUAUUUGUAGUGAGGUGGAUGGACCUAGAGUCUGUCAUACAGAGUGAAGUAAGUCAGAAAGAGAAAAACAAAUACCAUAUGCUAACAGACAUAUAUGGAAUCUAAGAAAAAAAGUAAAAAUAAUAAUAAAAAAAAGGUCAUGAAGAACCUAGGUGUAAGACGGGAAUAAAGACACAGACCUACUAGAGCAUGGACUUGAGGAUAUGGGGAGGGGGAAGGCUAAGCUGUGACAAAGUGAGAGAGUGGCAUGAACAUAUAUACACUACCAAACGUAAAAUAGAUAGCUAGUGGAAAGUAGCCGCAUAGCACAGGGAGAUCAGCUAGGUGGUUUGUGACCAUCUAGAGGGGUGGGAUAGGGAGGGUGGGAGGGAGGGAGAUGCAAGAGAGAAGAGAUAUGGGAACAUACGUAUAUAUAUAACUGAUUCACUUUGUUAUAAAGCAGAAACUAACACACCAUUGUAAAGCAAUUAUACUCCAAUAAAGAUGUUAAAAAAAAAAAAAAGAG